CUGUACAAUCUUCUAGCUUUCC
rnacentral:miRNA from 17 species